rnacentral:rRNA from 1 species
AUUGAACGCUGGCGGCAUGCCUUACACAUGCAAGUCGAACGGCAGCACGGGUGCUUGCACCUGGUGGCGAGUGGCGAACGGGUGAGUAAUACAUCGGAACGUACCUUAUCGUGGGGGAUAACGCAGCGAAAGUUGCGCUAAUACCGCAUACGCCCUGAGGGGGAAAGCGGGGGACCGUAAGGCCUCGCGCGAUUAGAGCGGCCGAUGUCUGAUUAGCUUGUUGGUGAGGUAAAAGCUCACCAAGGCGAUGAUCAGUAGCUGGUCUGAGAGGACGAUCAGCCAACCUGGGACUGAGACACGGACCAGACUCCUACGGGAGGCAGCAGUGGGGAAUUUUGGACGAUGGGGGCAACCCUGAUCCAGCAAUGCCGCGUGAGUGAAGAAGGCCUUCGGGUUGUAAAGCUCUUUUGUCAGGGAAGAAACAGCAGCUCUAACACAGUCUGCGAAUGACGGUACCUGAAGAAUAAGCACCGGCUAACUACGUGCCAGCCGCCGCAGUAA